rnacentral:lncRNA from 1 species
CGCAAAGGGAAGCUAGGAAGCUGUGGUGUACCUGAGAAAAAACACAGGGUGUUAUUCGGCUUAGUUUAUUUUUUUUAGUAGGUCCACAGUUGGGUCGGACACCCUACCCCACUACCUUACAUAAUUGUUAAUAACAAAUGUUUUACGUUAAUACUUUUGUCCGCACAAGGCGCAAUAGGAAGCUGGGUAGAUGUGGUCUACUUGCGAAAAAAAACACAGGGUGUUCUUUCGGCUUAGUUCAUUUUUUUUUUAAAUAGGUCCAAAGAUUGAGUCGGACAGUCUACUUCACUACCUUACAGAAAAUUUAAUAAAGCAUGUUAUAUGUCAAUAAUCUUGUCCGCACUUGGCGCUAAGGGAAGCUAGGUAGCUGUUGUCUACAUGAAAGGAAAAAA